GCUGGGCAUUGUGGCGGGCGCCUGUAGUCCCAGCUACUUGGGAGGCUGAGGCAAGAGAAUCGCUUAAGCCCAAGAGUUUGAGGUUGCUGUGAGCUGUGAUGCCAUGGCACUCUACCGAGGGCAACAUAAUGAGACUCUGUCUCAAAAAAAAAGCUACAAGAGAAACAAAACUUUUUUGUUUUGUUUUUUUUUUUGAGACAGAGUCUCACUGUGAUUGUCAUCCUUAGUAGAGCACUGUGGCAUUGCAGCUCACAGCAACUUCAAACUCUUGGGCUUAAGUAGUUCUCUUGUCUCAG
rnacentral:SRP_RNA from 1 species